CGGGACGUAGCGCAGCUUGGUAGCGCACCUGCUUUGGGAGCAGGGGGUCGCGGGUUCAAAUCCCGCCGUCCCGA
rnacentral:tRNA from 1 species